UUAAGCGACUAAGCGUACACGGUGGAUGCCCUGGCAGUCAGAGGCGAUGAAGGACGUGCUAAUCUGCGAUAAGCGUCGGUAAGGUGAUAUGAACCGUUAUAACCGGCGAUUUCCGAAUGGGGAAACCCAGUGUGUUUCGACACACUAUCAUUAACUGAAUCCAUAGGUUAAUGAGGCGAACCGGGGGAACUGAAACAUCUAAGUACCCCGAGGAAAAGAAAUCAACCGAGAUUCCCCCAGUAGCGGCGAGCGAACGGGGAGCAGCCCAGAGCCUGAAUCAGUGUGUGUGUUAGUGGAAGCGUCUGGAAAGGCGCGCGAUACAGGGUGACAGCCCCGUACACAAAAAUGCACAUGCUGUGAGCUCGAUGAGUAGGGCGGGACACGUGGUAUCCUGUCUGAAUAUGGGGGGACCAUCCUCCAAGGCUAAAUACUCCUGACUGACCGAUAGUGAACCAGUACCGUGAGGGAAAGGCGAAAAGAACCCCGGCGAGGGGAGUGAAAAAGAACCUGAAACCGUGUACGUACAAGCAGUGGGAGCACGCUUAGGCGUGUGACUGCGUACCUUUUGUAUAAUGGGUCAGCGACUUAUAUUCUGUAGCAAGGUUAACCGAAUAGGGGAGCCGAAGGGAAACCGAGUCUUAACUGGGCGUUAAGUUGCAGGGUAUAGACCCGAAACCCGGUGAUCUAGCCAUGGGCAGGUUGAAGGUUGGGUAACACUAACUGGAGGACCGAACCGACUAAUGUUGAAAAAUUAGCGGAUGACUUGUGGCUGGGGGUGAAAGGCCAAUCAAACCGGGAGAUAGCUGGUUCUCCCCGAAAGCUAUUUAGGUAGCGCCUCGUGAAUUCAUCUCCGGGGGUAGAGCACUGUUUCGGCAAGGGGGUCAUCCCGACUUACCAACCCGAUGCAAACUGCGAAUACCGGAGAAUGUUAUCACGGGAGACACACGGCGGGUGCUAACGUCCGUCGUGAAGAGGGAAACAACCCAGACCGCCAGCUAAGGUCCCAAAGUCAUGGUUAAGUGGGAAACGAUGUGGGAAGGCCCAGACAGCCAGGAUGUUGGCUUAGAAGCAGCCAUCAUUUAAAGAAAGCGUAAUAGCUCACUGGUCGAGUCGGCCUGCGCGGAAGAUGUAACGGGGCUAAACCAUGCACCGAAGCUGCGGCAGCGACGCUUAUGCGUUGUUGGGUAGGGGAGCGUUCUGUAAGCCUGCGAAGGUGUGCUGUGAGGCAUGCUGGAGGUAUCAGAAGUGCGAAUGCUGACAUAAGUAACGAUAAAGCGGGUGAAAAGCCCGCUCGCCGGAAGACCAAGGGUUCCUGUCCAACGUUAAUCGGGGCAGGGUGAGUCGACCCCUAAGGCGAGGCCGAAAGGCGUAGUCGAUGGGAAACAGGUUAAUAUUCCUGUACUUGGUGUUACUGCGAAGGGGGGACGGAGAAGGCUAUGUUGGCCGGGCGACGGUUGUCCCGGUUUAAGCGUGUAGGCUGGUUUUCCAGGCAAAUCCGGAAAAUCAAGGCUGAGGCGUGAUGACGAGGCACUACGGUGCUGAAGCAACAAAUGCCCUGCUUCCAGGAAAAGCCUCUAAGCAUCAGGUAACAUCAAAUCGUACCCCAAACCGACACAGGUGGUCAGGUAGAGAAUACCAAGGCGCUUGAGAGAACUCGGGUGAAGGAACUAGGCAAAAUGGUGCCGUAACUUCGGGAGAAGGCACGCUGAUAUGUAGGUGAAGUCCCUCGCGGAUGGAGCUGAAAUCAGUCGAAGAUACCAGCUGGCUGCAACUGUUUAUUAAAAACACAGCACUGUGCAAACACGAAAGUGGACGUAUACGGUGUGACGCCUGCCCGGUGCCGGAAGGUUAAUUGAUGGGGUUAGCGCAAGCGAAGCUCUUGAUCGAAGCCCCGGUAAACGGCGGCCGUAACUAUAACGGUCCUAAGGUAGCGAAAUUCCUUGUCGGGUAAGUUCCGACCUGCACGAAUGGCGUAAUGAUGGCCAGGCUGUCUCCACCCGAGACUCAGUGAAAUUGAACUCGCUGUGAAGAUGCAGUGUACCCGCGGCAAGACGGAAAGACCCCGUGAACCUUUACUAUAGCUUGACACUGAACAUUGAGCCUUGAUGUGUAGGAUAGGUGGGAGGCCUUGAAGUGUGGACGCCAGUCUGCAUGGAGCCGACCUUGAAAUACCACCCUUUAAUGUUUGAUGUUCUAACGUUGACCCGUAAUCCGGGUUGCGGACAGUGUCUGGUGGGUAGUUUGACUGGGGCGGUCUCCUCCUAAAGAGUAACGGAGGAGCACGAAGGUUGGCUAAUCCUGGUCGGACAUCAGGAGGUUAGUGCAAUGGCAUAAGCCAGCUUGACUGCGAGCGUGACGGCGCGAGCAGGUGCGAAAGCAGGUCAUAGUGAUCCGGUGGUUCUGAAUGGAAGGGCCAUCGCUCAACGGAUAAAAGGUACUCCGGGGAUAACAGGCUGAUACCGCCCAAGAGUUCAUAUCGACGGCGGUGUUUGGCACCUCGAUGUCGGCUCAUCACAUCCUGGGGCUGAAGUAGGUCCCAAGGGUAUGGCUGUUCGCCAUUUAAAGUGGUACGCGAGCUGGGUUUAGAACGUCGUGAGACAGUUCGGUCCCUAUCUGCCGUGGGCGCUGGAGAACUGAGGGGGGCUGCUCCUAGUACGAGAGGACCGGAGUGGACGCAUCACUGGUGUUCGGGUUGUCAUGCCAAUGGCACUGCCCGGUAGCUAAAUGCGGAAGAGAUAAGUGCUGAAAGCAUCUAAGCACGAAACUUGCCCCGAGAUGAGUUCUCCCUGACUCCUUGAGAGUCCUGAAGGAACGUUGAAGACGACGACGUUGAUAGGCCGGGUGUGUAAGCGCAGCGAUGCGUUGAGCUAACCGGUACUAAUGAACCGUGAGGCUUAACCUU
rnacentral:rRNA from 1 species